rnacentral:rRNA from 1 species
UAGGGAAUCUUCGGCAAUGGACGAAAGUCUGACCGAGCAACGCCGCGUGAGUGAAGAAGGUUUUCGGAUCGUAAAACUCUGUUGUUAGAGAAGAACAAGGAUGAGAGUAGAACGUUCAUCCCUUGACGGUAUCUAACCAGAAAGCCACGGNUNACUACNUG